GGAAUUCGAUUCAGGCCUAACACAUGCAAGUCGAGCGGGGUUUUCGGACAUAGAGGAGGACGGGUGAGUAAUGUGUAGGAAGAUACCCGACAGAGGGGGAUGCCAGUUGGAAGCGGCUGUUAAUGCCGCAUAAUGUGUACGGGUCAAAGUGUGGGACCUUUGGGCCACAUGCUGUCGGAUGCGCCUACGUGGGAUUAGCUAGUUGGUGAGGUAAUGGCUCACCAAGGCGAUGAUCCCUAGCUGGUUUGAGAGGAUGAUCAGCCACACUGGAACUGAGACACGGUCCAGAAUCCUACGGGAGGCAGCAGUGGGGAAUAUUGGACAAUGGGCGCAAGCCUGAUCCACCAAGGGCGCGUGUGUGUAGAAGUCCUUCGGGUCUUCUUUAAUGGAGCGAGGAGGAAGGGUUGUGUGUUAAUAGUACACAGCCUGACG
rnacentral:rRNA from 1 species